GGGACACGUGGUAUCCUGUCUGAAUAUGGGGGGACCAUCCUCCAAGGCUAAAUACUCCUGACUGACCGAUAGUGAACCAGUACCGUGAGGGAAAGGCGAAAAGAACCCCGGCGAGGGGAGUGAAAAAGAACCUGAAACCGUGUACGUACAAGCAGUGGGAGCCUCUUUAUGGGGUGACUGCGUACCUUUUGUAUAAUGGGUCAGCGACUUAUAUUCUGUAGCAAGGUUAACCGAAUAGGGGAGCCGAAGGGAAACCGAGUCUUAACUGGGCGUUAAGUUGCAGGGUAUAGACCCGAAACCCGGUGAUCUAGCCAUGGGCAGGUUGAAGGUUGGGUAACACUAACUGGAGGACCGAACCGACUAAUGUUGAAAAAUUAGCGGAUGACUUGUGGCUGGGGGUGAAAGGCCAAUCAAACCGGGAGAUAGCUGGUUCUCCCCGAAAGCUAUUUAGGUAGCGCCUCGUGAAUUCAUCUUCGGGGGUAGAGCACUGUUUCGGCAAGGGGGUCAUCCCGACUUACCAACCCGAUGCAAACUGCGAAUACCGGAGAAUGUUAUCACGGGAGACACACGGCGGGUGCUAACGUCCGUCGUGAAGAGGGAAACAACCCAGACCGCCAGCUAAGGUCCCAAAGUCAUGGUUAAGUGGGAAACGAUGUGGGAAGGCCCAGACAGCCAGGAUGUUGGCUUAGAAGCAGCCAUCAUUUAAAGAAAGCGUAAUAGCUCACUGGUCGAGUCGGCCUGCGCGGAAGAUGUAACGGGGCUAAACCAUGCACCGAAGCUGCGGCAGCGACACUAAG
rnacentral:rRNA from 1 species